GAUGAAGAACGUAGCGAAAUGCGAUAAGUAGUGUGAAUUGCAGAAUUCAGUGAAUCAUCGAAUCUUUGAACGCACAUUGCGCCCCUUGGUAUUCCGGGGGGCAUGCCUGUUCGAGCGUCAUUUCAACCCUCAAGCUCUGCUUGGUAUUGAGUCCAUGUCAGCAAUGGCAGGCUCCAAAAUCAGUGGCGGCGCCGCUGGGUCCUGAACGUAGUAAUAUCUCUCGUUACAGGUGCUCGGCGUGCUUCUGCCAAAACCCCAAUUUUUCUAUGGUUGACCUCGGAUCAGGUAGGGAUACCCGCUGAACUUAAGCAUAUCAAUAAGCGGAGGA
rnacentral:misc_RNA from 1 species